rnacentral:rRNA from 1 species
UACGUAGGGUGCGAGCGUUAAUCGGAAUUACUGGGCGUAAAGCGUGCGUAGGCGGUUCUCCAAGUCCGUCGUGAAAGCCCCGGGACUUAACCUGGGAACUGCGAUGGAAACUAGCGAGCUGGAGUGUGGCAGAGGGGGGUGGAAUUCCGCGUGUAGCAGUGAAAUGCGUAGAGAUGCGGAGGAACACCGAUGGCGAAGGCAGCCCCCUGGGCUAACACUGACGCUCAGGCACGAAAGCGUGGGGAGCAAACAGG